GGUGGCGAUCGCCAUCUUGGAGUCUUCACCGGAGUCCAAUCACUGAGUAUUCUUCAUAUUGUUCAGGGAUAGGAGUGGGUCAUAAGGGCAGAAACCCGACUUGGAGUGUGCGUGGGAGGAGCUGCGGCUGGAGGGGUCCCCAUUCUCUCUUGUUAAAAAUUAAAGGGAGUCCAGCCAGGUGCAGAGGCUCACACCCAUAGCAAACAGUGAUUAGUGAAAUGGAAAGCAACCAGCCGUGAUUUGUAGUCCACCC
rnacentral:lncRNA from 1 species